rnacentral:rRNA from 1 species
AGCGAACGCUGGCGGCAGGCCUAAUACAUGCAAGUCGAACGCACCUUCGGGUGAGUGGCGGACGGGUGAGUAACGCGUGGGAACGUGCCCUUUGGUUCGGAACAACACAGGGAAACUUGUGCUAAUACCGAAUGUGCCCUUCGGGGGAAAGAUUUAUCGCCAUUGGAGCGGCCCGCGUUGGAUUAGCUAGUUGGUGGGGUAAAAGCCUACCAAGGCUACGAUCCAUAGCUGGUCUGAGAGGAUGAUCAGCCACACUGGGACUGAGACACGGCCCAGACUCCUACGGGAGGCAGCAGUAGGGAAUCUUGCGCAAUGGGCGAAAGCCUGACGCAGCCAUGCCGCGUGAAUGAUGAAGGUCUUAGGAUUGUAAAAUUCUUUCACCGGGGAAGAUAAAGACGGUACCCGGAGAAGAAGCCCCG